UGCUGACUUGCCCCAGCGCGGGGUUCACUGAUCUGGCUGAGAUUGUGUCUCGCAUUGAGCCGGCCAAGAGCUACCUGUCCGAUGGCUACGCUGAUGGUGAGGAAUCUGACUACCUGACGGAGUACGAGGAGGAAGGGCUGGACCCCGCACGGGGAGAGGAAGAGUUGUUAGCGCCGACUGAGUGGACCCGCACUGAGGAUGAGGAGAAGAGUCUGCGGCACCGCAACUUCCCGCCCCAGGAGUGAGCCCAGCCGCCUGCUCCCGGACUGGGACAGAUGUGCCAGCCCUGGGCCUGCAGGUUCCUUGGAGACUGUAGCCUGCAUGUAGCUGGGGCACUGGAGCCCAUCCUGCGCUAGAUCCCCCUGGCCUGCAUCUGCUGCUGACGUCCUGAGGCCAGCCUGGUUCCACUCCGUUAAUGGCCAGGGUUCUGCCGGGGUCAGCAGCCCUUCUACAUCUUCCAGUCUGCAGUGGGACCUGGCCUGGACUCACCUCAGGGUGGAGUGGUGGCCACUAGGCCCAGCACUCUCCAUCAGCCAGUACGUGCCCCAGGCCAGCGCUGCUGCAGUUCCGGGGGGCCCUCAGCUAACCGCUGUAUCAGUUGCAGGCCUAUGCUGCUCGCUCCAAGGCCCUGCAUUGCUCCAGGGACAGCAGGGCCCAGUCCAGCAGCCUCUGCUGGUAGGGGGUGAGG